ACCAGAAGAACACAACAAAAGAAAAAGCCUGGACAUAACACUAGAGGAAAUUAUCCAGGAAAACUGUCCCGAGAUCCUAGAACAGGAGGGGAAAGUGGAGAUUGAAAGAAUCCACAGAUCACCCCCUGUAUUUAAUCCCCAACUGACAACACCCAGGAAUGUCAUGGCCAAAUUCAAGAACUAUCAGAUGAAAGAAAAGAUAUUACAAGCUGCCAAGAAGAAACCAUUCAGAUACCAUGGAAACAUGAUGAGGUUAACACAGGAUCUGGCUGCAUCCACACUGAAGGACCAAAAGGCAUGGAAUACGAUAUUCUGGAAAGCAAGGGAACUAGGUCUACAACCAAGAAUAAAAUUCCCAUCAAAUCUGACUAUAUUCUUACAGGGGAAAGUAUGGUCAUUCAGCACAACAGAAGAGUUCCAAGCAUUCAUAAAUAAAAGACCAGACCUGAACAGAAAAUUUGAUGUCCAACCACAGAACUCAAGAGAAUCAUCAAAAGGGAAGGGUUUCUUGCAAGGCAUAGCAAUUCAGGCUAGCAGCCUGGGAUGGUGCAAAAUCAAGAUUCCACAGAACUUGGCUGGGUCAGGAUUCUACAUCAGUUGGAAACUCUCUCAAGCUGGGUGGCAGACUGGAAGGUGGGCCUAG
rnacentral:lncRNA from 1 species